rnacentral:rRNA from 1 species
UAGUCUGGUGCCAGCAGCCGCGGUAAUACGGAGGAUGCAAGCGUUAUCCGGAAUCAUUGGGCGUAAAGCGUCCGCAGGUGGUUUCCAAAGUCUGCUGUUAAAGACUGGAGCUCAGCUCCGGAACGGCGGUGGAAACUUGGAAACUAGAGUUCGGUAGGGGUAGCAGGAAUUCCCAGUGUAGCGGUGAAAUGCGUAGAUAUUGGGAAGAACAUCGGUGGCGAAGGCGUGCUACUGGACCGUAACUGACACUCAGGGACGAAAGCUAGGGGAGCGAAAGGGAUUAGAUACCCCUGUAGUCCUAGCUGUAAACGAUGGAAACUAGGUGUGGCUUGUAUCGACCCGAGCCGUGCCGUAGCUAACGCGUUAAGUUUCCCGCCUGGGGAGUACGCACGCAAGUGUGAAACUCAAAGGAAUUGACGGGGGCCCGCACAAGCGGUGGAGUAUGUGGUUUAAUUCGAUGCAACGCGAAGAACCUUACCAGGGCUUGACAUGUCGCGAAUCUCGGUGAAAGCUGAGAGUGCCUUCGGGAGCGCGAACACAGGUGGUGCAUGCCGUUCU